AUUGAACGCUGGCGGCAGGCCUAACACAUGCAAGUCGAGCGAGCGGCGGACGGGUGAGUAAUGUAUGGGGACUGCCCGAUAGAGGGGGAUAACUACUGGAAACGGUGGCUAAUACCGCAUACUAUCGGAUAACCCAUAUGGGAUUAGCUAGUAGGUGGGGUAAAGGCUCACCUAGGCGACGAUCUCUAGCUGGUCUGAGAGGAUGAUAAGCCCCACUGGGACUGAACAACGGCCCGGAAUCCUGCGGAGGCAGAGGUGGGGAAUAUUGAACAAUGGGGGCAAGCCUGAUGGAGCCAUGCCGCGUGUAUGAAGAAGGCCUUAGGGUUGUAAAGUACUUUCAGCGGGGAGGCGUUCCCCGCAGAAGAAGCACCGGCUAACUCCGUGCCAGCCGCCGCGGUAAUUC
rnacentral:rRNA from 1 species